UAGAAAAAAGUUAGACAAUAUAACCAAGUGGAAUUAUCCUACCAAUACAAAUUUAAAAAUCAAUCAGUGUAAUACAUCAUAUUAAUAGAAUAAAGGAAAAGACCAUGAUGAUUUCAAUGGACGUCUGACAAUGUCUGACACUCAUUCCUGAUAAAUCUUCCAGAAAUCUAGCAAUAGAAAUAACUUCCUGAACCCCCUAAAGGACAUCCAUGAAAAUUUAAUAAAUUCCACUAAGGUAUAUUGAAAGGCAUAUUGAUACUUCCAACCUUAUGGUUUUAAAAAUUAACAAUGAAAUGAGAACUAAUAACAGUAAUCUAUCCAUCUGCAAAACAUUAAACACCUUUCUAACAAUAUUUCUUUUGAAGUGAUAAAGGUAAACAUCCAAAUUUAAUAAGAGGAGUGCUUUUGAGACAACUGAAAUUUGGUGUUCCUAAUUUUUCUGACUUAUUAGCAAUUAGAAUCUAAUUAUCAAUAAUGCCAAGAAGACAGGAGUACUCUCCAAUGACAUUAAAAUGUAUAACACAAAGAUUUAUAGUUAGGCAUAAUGUAUAACACAAAGAUUCAUUGUUUGGCAUAACAGCAUUUCAUAUUUGAAUCAUCUAAUAACAUUGUCAUCAUUGCAUAUUCUCCUGGAAGUAACACACAAUACAGACUUCAAAAAACCAGAGCUUUUGCUGGGGAUAUAUGCUCCUUCCAAAGGCGAUUGAUUGUGUGCAAUAUUCUGAGAAGUAAUUCCUCCAAAGGUGGAUAUUGAGGGAGAAACAGAAAAAUCCAAGACAAUCCCUUGUGGAAGAAAAUUCUCCAACCCAAAACUCAACCGAACUCAAAGGGCUGAACAGCGCGUCAAUUAAGACCUGUCAAAUAUAAUCACACGAUCUAAUAGUUUUAAAUACGCAAAAUAAAGAGCACCAAAGUAAAUGUCAUUCAGAAAUAACAACAACAAAACCAGAGCACCCCGAUGCAUUUAGGCCUCAAGGAAUUCCAAAGUAGUGUAUUAGGUAUAGUAAAUAUAUAUGUAAUUAGAAAUGUUUAGAGAAAUUAGAGAGAUGUGUUUUUUUUAAAAGAUUUGGCCUAUAAAACAGUUAACAAUUCCAGUAAAGAAGAAAACAGAAAUUCAAUGUUUGAUAUACAUACAUAAAAAUAAAUUUCAGGAAAAGUC